UGAUGGACAGACCCAAACAUAGCCGCGCAGCAUCGUGAAGGGCUGGGGCCUUCACGCGUCUGUGGCUGUGGAAGGGCCUGGUUUCCUCAGGAGGCAUGUCGGGCCCCAGGCCUGUGGUGCUGAGCGGGCCUUCGGGAGCUGGGAAGAGCACCCUGCUGAAGAGGCUGUUCCAGGAGCACAGCGGCAUCUUUGGCUUCAGCGUGUCCCGUGAGUCCAGGGCUCUUGUGGAGGGAUACCACAAGGAACCCGAGGCCCGGCGAGGAGAACGGCAAA
rnacentral:sRNA from 1 species